AAUGGGUUCCUAGGAAGAGGUAGUAGGUUGCAUAGUUUUAGGGCAGGGAUUUUGCCCACAAGGAGGUAACUAUACGACCUGCUACCUUUCUUAGGGCCUUAUU
rnacentral:pre_miRNA from 1 species